rnacentral:sRNA from 17 species
GCUUUACGAAACUAGGGUUCCGGCUUUCCAAGGGAAGUGACUGGUCCAAGGGUUUCGGGCCCUUUCAAGGGGUUCCACGGAGGGAUAAAAGCCCGGGAGGU